rnacentral:rRNA from 1 species
UACGUAGGGGGCAAGCGUUGUCCGGAUUCAUUGGGCGUAAAGAGCGUGUAGGCGGCCAGGUAGGUCGGUUGUGAAAACUGGAGGCUCAACCUUCAGAGGUCGACCGAAACCAUCUGGCUAGAGUCCGGGAGAGGAGAAUGGAAUUCCUGGUGUGAGCGGUGAAAUGCGCAGAUAUCAGGAAGAACACCCGUGGCGAAGGCGGUUCUCUGGGACGGUACUGACGCUGAGACGCGAAAGCGUGGGGAGCGAACAGG